UUCGCAAUGCCCGAAAGGGUGACGAAGCGACGCCGCGUGGGUGAGGAAGGCCUUCGGGUUGUAAAGCCCUGUCAGGAGUUAAGAAAUGUAGGUUCGCUAAUAUCGUAUCUAUUUGACAAAGGCUCCAAAGGAAGCCACGGCUAACUCUGUGCCAGCAGCCGCGGUAAUACAGAGGUGGCAAGCGUUGUUCGGAAUUAUUGGGCGUAAAGAGCACGUAGGUGGAUUUGUAAGUCAGAUGUGAAAGCCUUCUGUUCAACGGGAGAAUUGCAUCUGAAACUACAAACCUUGAGUAUAGGAGGGGAGAAUGGAACUUCUGGUGGAGCGGUGAAAUGCGUAGAUAUCAGAAGGAACGCCGGCGGCGAAAGCGAUUCUCUGGCCUAUUACUGACACUCAGUGUGCGAAAGCUAGGGGAGCAAACGGGAUUAGAUACCCCGGUAGUCCUAGCCGUAAACGAUGGGCACUAAGUAGAGGGGUUUU
rnacentral:rRNA from 1 species